rnacentral:SRP_RNA from 1 species
GCCAGGCAGGGUGGUGCAUGCCUGUAGUCCCAGCUACUUGGGAGGCAGAGGCUGGAGGAUCGCUUGAGUCCAGGAGUUCUGGGCUGUAGUGCACUAUGCCGAUCAGGUGCCCACACUAAGUUCGGCAUCAAUAUGGUGACCUCCCGGGAGCGGGGAACCACCAGGUUGCCUAAGGAGGGGUGAACCGAACCAGGCCGGAAACGGAGCAGGUCAAAACUCCCAUGCUGAUCAGUAGUGGGAUCGUACCUGUGAAUAGCACUGCACUCCAGCCUGGGCAACAUAGCAAGACCCUGUCUCU